AAAAAAAAAAAAAAAAAAAAAAAAAAAAAAGCUACAUAUUUAAAAAUUUCAGCAGUCUAUACUAUUUCCUGCGAGCCCUUGGGUAAGCUAGGGGGAAAAAAGUUCAUGUAUUUAAAGAGGAAGAUUUGGUCUGAGGAAGAAGAUGAUAAGAUGAGAUAAUCUGCAUUCAUAAAUACUUCUUAUCACAUAUGGAGGACUGGUCCCGUUGUACUGUGAACAAUGUCAAACAGAUCAAAUUCACUCACUCACUUUUCUUUGACAACAGACAAUUUCAUGGCUGCAGUCUGAAUAUCAGAUCAUUCUUCUUCUUUUGUGGAGAAAUUUGAUCGUUUUGAAAUUCUACACAUUUUAGUCUAAAUUUCUGAAACACGUCAAGUAGGAAUUUUAAAUAUUGCUUUUGGCAAAUUUUAAAAUCUGCUUUUUUGGGACCAGUCUGGGGCUCAAUCUAUUGUUGCACACCAAGCCAGGGAUAAAACUUCACACUUAUAGUACAACUCAAG